AACGUCACGAUACAGCCUCCAA
rnacentral:siRNA from 1 species